CAAAACGUAGCUUAAAUUAAAGCAUUUGGCCUACACCCAAAAGAUUUUAUACAUAAUAAACGUUUUGA
rnacentral:tRNA from 1 species